ACUGUCCACAUUUUUCUCUUAAACAAAUGAAAAUUUAACACAAAUGAAAACGUAGACUGCUAGAUUAUAGAUUAAUGCAUCGAGCCUCGUUCUCAAUUUUUCGUUUAGACGUUUUGUUUGAGAGAAAAGCUUGGACAAAAACUACUAUAGACCCUCUUUAAAGGCUGCGCAGUGCUGAAUACGAAUCGUUAGAACACAUGCUCAGAUGUCAGGAGAUAAUGAAAAAUGUCAAAAAGGACAUCAGAGAGUAUUUGGAGGAAUGGAAAGGUCAAGCAGUGGAUAUAGAAUUAGGAAAGCAGAUCUUGAAGGUGAAGAUUAACUACGGAUGCAGUACAAUAAAGGUGGGCGAGACGACGAAGUGAACGAAGGAAGCAACAAGUGCUAAGUAAGAGUGAUAUAAGCAAUAAAGAUUGGCUGUUAAGUUGUUAUUCAAAUUAAUAGUGAAUUCACACCAAGGGAGGAAAGUAGGACACUCCAACCGGCGUGUGUAAUCGCCUACCCGAGCCGAAGUCGAGGAUGACAAACACGCGGAUUGAGAUAUGUCCUACCCUGAUAGCAAGUUAACUUCAAGUUGCAGCCGUAUUCUGAAGCCAACUUAAAAGCAAAUGUUUGAGAGCAAACAGUUGCGGUUAAGUUGACAGUAGAUUGUCUGUAACUAGAAUUCAAUUUGAGUUCAAAUGUUACCGUCAGAUAAUGACGUUAAGCUGAUUGAAAGUUUCACUUCAAAUUGACAGCAAGUUUUUCUGUCAAAUUACGUUCAGAUGACGGCAGUUGAUUUGCAUCAACUUGCACGCAAGUAUUAUCCAGCCAAGGCUUGCCAGAAACUUGUCGUUAAGUUAGCCGAAAAUGUUUCACUGCAGAACUUGCUGAGCAAGGUGUGGCUAUCAGGGUACUUUCACCCGUGGUGUGAAUACGAUUUUUUAGCAUACCUGCACCUGAAAGUAAGUUUAAAUUUGAGCCUCUGUUUAUGGGAAGAAUGGCGGAUGCGCUAAUUUUUAUCAUUUGUUUCUCUUCAAAGAAAUAAAGAACGACUUUCUUCUCUAUAGGACAGGAAUUUAAACUUUCAGGGGCAGGUAGGCAGAAAAAUAUUAGAUUUUUUUUGUAUUGGUGUGUGAUUAAGAUUUAAUUGUCUUAUAAAUUAUUGCAAGCAGGCAAGAAAGCAAGUUAAAAUAUAAAUAAGAAAAAAAAAUUUUAAACUUGUAUUUUAUACAUUGAAAUAAAGAAUUACAAUUAUUCAAUAAUCUAGAAAUUAAAAAAAAAAUAAAUUUAUCACUAUCAUUUAUUAACUUUUUUACUGUUACAUAUAAAUACAUAUUGUAGAUUUAUAAUAAAAAUAAACUCUUAAUGAUUAAUUAUAAAAAUACAAUUGGGGUAAACUACCCAGCCCUCAGCUCUCUUAAAAAGUGGAUCUCUAAACAUUAUUUUUUAUUAAAAAAUAAAAAUAAGUCGAUUUUGUUAAUAAAUUUAUCCUAGUCAUUAAAAAAAAAUGACUUUUUUAUAAUAUGUGAGAAGGAGACUGGAUACUGAUGAAAUACUUGACUCUAAUUAAUGUAAUCUGAUAACUUUACAUUCCAUUUAUUCAUUACGAAAAAUUUAUACAUUACAUUCACAAUUGCCUAUUGAUAAAUUCAAAAAUUUAAAGCACUUAAUUAUAUUAUAAUAAUAUAUCUUAUAAGUAAUAAUAAGAAAUAUAAUUUUCUUUUAAUGUAAUUUAAGAGUCUUAAAUGAUACGAAAGUUUGCUAAUGGAAAUACAGCCAUGGAAAAAGGAAACUGAGUAAUUUUAUUUAUUUAAUAUUUAAUUUACGAAGCUGUAGUCUAUUAUUACGAAAAUCGACGUGAGUCAUCGCGAACAUAUCCGUCGAAGAACAGAGAGACAUUUUCUUGCAGAUCUCUUUAGUAUCAACGUUCAUUUUCAAUAGGUUGAUAAUACUCUGCUCGUAAACUUCAAGCAGCAUCACACACUGUUAUUUUAAAUAAUUUAAAACAAGUAUUAGUAAUUAGUAAUUAAAAAAUAGUAUAUCGUGUUACCAAAGAUGAAACAAAACGAUUUCAAACCAGGGUGAAGUUGGCUGCCCUACCCAAAUAGCACGUGUUUGAGCAAGAUUCUGAAGUAAGUAUUUUGAGCAAGACCCUUAGCUGCUAGUGUCUUUUUCUACGUAUGUGUCUUUCCCUUCAAGAUCGUGUGUCAAAAAACCUAUGUCAAGAUUUGUGUAUGUCUUGCUCAUGAUAUCGUACACAAGAAUAUUAAAGAUAUCUUGAACACGAAGCAAUGAAAAAGUGUCUGACGCAUUUCUUGCACCAGUAUAACUUACUGUAGGUACUUACGCAUGGCUUGUUCCAGAUCUGCUCAAGGCUUAAGGUUGAUUUUAAGCAUUGAGCAAAUCUUGAGCAAGCCAUGCGCAACUAUUUUUAAUUAUAGUCUUCCUCCAGAAUUGAGUUAUAAUCUGGCACGAAUUUCUUGUGUAAGGCUUGCAAUUUAAAUCUGGUCAAAAGUAUCUGCAGCAAGACACAUACGUAGCAAAAGAUACUAGCACCUAUCGAUCUUGAGAACAGACUUGCUCAAGAACUUACAAAAAUUGUGAUAUGGGUAGGGUUGACAUCACCCGCAGACUAAAAUCGUGUUUCAUCCUGAGUUACACACUAUAUUUUUCAUGAUUGCAUUGGAACAUGAAAUUUCAGUGUCAGCAGCCAGUCAGAAACAAGUUAAUUUAAGACCAAUGAUGUCAUCAACUAUUAGCGUACGCGUAAAUUGCUAUUUGCAAUUUAUAAUUAAGCAGAAACUAUAAACACUAUUUAUUAUUGACACUAACUUUUAUAAAACUUCAUUACAGUCAGAACUGUCAUUUACGUAAAAAAAAAAUGAUGGUCUCAAUUAUUAUUAAACAAAUAACAAAUAUCGGAGUUUAAAUUGCGAAAGCUUUCCGUCAGCGGACAGAAACUUUAUUUGUUUUUUCCCAAGGGACGAAACAAGUUUGUUUUUGCCCACUGACUAAAAGCAUUCACAAUUUAUGCGUUUGCUAAUAUUCAUUGACGACAUUGGACUGAAAUUAGCUUCUUUCGACUGGCGGUAAAGACACUGAAACUUUAAGUUUCGAUGCUGGUAUCAUGAAAAUAUUACAUUUCACACCUGGGAAGGAAAGUAGAAAAUUUCAACCUGCGUGUACAAUUGUCUACCCGAGCCAACACGCGGAUUGGGACUUCCUACUCACCUCCGUGGUGUGUAUAUAAUUUUCCACCAGAUCUGCACCUGAAAAUUUAAUUUUUUGCCUCUGUUUUGUAGAAAGAAUGGCGCAUGUGCUAAUUUUUAUCAGUAGUUUUCUCAUACAAGCAACUAAUGACUUUCUUCCCUCUAAACAGGACAAAAAUUUAAACUUUCGGCGCAGGCAUGGUGAAAAAAUAUUAAUUAAUAAUUAAUAAUAAAAAUAAAUUUAUUUCUCAUUAAAGCAUACCUUGUCGUGUUUACUUGGUGGUAUAUAAUCACAUGCACUGUUAAUUACUUCUUCAAUUCUAUCAUCAACUUUAGGAUUUGUUAGUAAAUUAUCAACGGAUGAAAUAAUCGCUUGACAUAACGCACACUCAGAUACCGAUUCUGUAAUAAUUUAAAUAAUUUAUAAAUUAAUAAGCUAAUUAUCUUAUUAAUUAAAAUGUUAAUAUAUAUAUCUUCUAUUAAUUAUUUUACAAUAUAACAUGCAAACAAAAUAAUUUGCAGUAAAAUAAUUGAUUAAUAUUUUUAUUACACAUUUUAUUAUAAAUACAAUAAACAAUAGACAUUAUAACUUAUAAUUAUUAUUAUUAAUUACUUUAAUUAUUUAAUAUGACAAAAAAUUAAAGUAACUAGACAAAAAAAACUUUCAAAUCUUAUCGACUAAAAAAUUGUUCGAUCAUUUUGUUCUGGAGUUGAAGUAUUUAAAAAUAUUGAGAUUCAAAAUAAUUAAUUUGCUUACUGAAAUAAAAAAAUUAAAAAAAAAAGUAAUAUUUCAUUGAUUUAAUUACCCCUUAUUUGCUGGACUUGAUCUUCGCAUGCAUUAAUAAGAG